AUUGAACGCUGGCGGCAUGCCUUACACAUGCAAGUCGAACGGCAGCGCGGACUUCGGUCUGGCGGCGAGUGGCGAACGGGUGAGUAAUACAUCGGAACGUACCCUGUUGUGGGGGAUAACUAGUCGAAAGAUUAGCUAAUACCGCAUACGACCUGAGGGUGAAAGUGGGGGACCGCAAGGCCUCACGCAGCAGGAGCGGCCGAUGUCUGAUUAGCUAGUUGGUGGGGUAAAGGCCCACCAAGGCGACGAUCAGUAGCUGGUCUGAGUGGACGAUCAGCCACACUGGGACUGAGACACGGCCCAGACUCCUACAGGAGGCAGCAGUGGGGAAGUUUGGACAAUGGGGGCAACCCUGAUCCAGCAAUGCCGCGUGUGUGAAGAAGGCCUUCGGGUUGUAAAGCACUUUUGUCCGGAAAGAAAUCGCGCUGGUUAAUACCUGGCGUGGAUGACGGUACCGGAAGAAUAAGCACCGGCUAACUACGUGCCAGCAGCCGCAGUAA
rnacentral:rRNA from 1 species